AUUCUGCAUUUCUAACAAGUUC
rnacentral:miRNA from 1 species